AUUGAACGCUGGCGGCAUGCCUAACACAUGCAAGUCGAGCGGAGCGGAGGCCGGGUACGUAAUGCCUAGGAAUCUGCAUGGUAGUGGGGGAUAACGUCCGGCAACGGGCGCUAAUAGCGCAUACUCUCAGAUUCGCCUAGGUCUGAUUAGCUAGUUGGUGGGGUAAAGGCAUAACAAGGCGACGAUCCUUAACUGGUCUGAGAGGAUGAUCAGUCAAACUGGAACUGAGACACGGGCCAGACUCUUACGGGAGGCAGCAGUGGGGAAUAUUGGAAAAGGGGGGAAGGCCGGAGCCAGCAAUGCCGCGUGGGUGAGGAAGGUCUUCGGAUGGUAAAGCACUUUAAGUGGGGAGGCGUUACCAACAGAAGAAGCACCGGCUAACUUCGUGCCAGCAGCCGCGGUAAUUC
rnacentral:rRNA from 1 species